rnacentral:lncRNA from 1 species
UACUAGUUCUAGUUAUAAGCGGUAUGAAAAAUGGUACGAUGGUUUUUUUGUAAUAAAGAAUAAAACUUUCUAUAAUGAUUCUACUUAUAAUCUACAAAGAAAGUGGAAUGAUGGAAAUUUUGUAAUAAAUUACAAGUGGAAAUUUUGUAAUAAAUUACAAAGAGUUUCUAUAUCGAUUGGUCUAUAACUGGUAUAGAAAAUGGCGUAGUUAUAAUUUUGUAAUAAAAUGUAAAGACUUUAUAUAUCGGUUAGGCUUAGAACCGAGAUAAUAUGUUUAAUUAUCUCGUUUCCUCUCAAGCUUCACUCAUGCUUCCUUCUCUCUACAACUUUCCUCCUCCUUUGCGUUCUCUCCUUCCUGCACUCCCUUACCUUUGUCUCCUCCCUCUGUCGCUUUUGGUCAUCACUGUCCCUCAAGUUCUCGUCGUUGUUAUUGUUCUCAUUUGUACUCCCU